rnacentral:antisense_RNA from 1 species
AUUGUGGUGGCUGCGCUUGCGAGGACCCUGAGGUAGGUUGGGUGGUUUCAGCAGGAACGCAUCCACUGUCUGAGGUGGCAGUUGAAGCCGGAAGAACAUCUACCAAGAGCAGAGAACCCAGGAAGAAAAUUCUGCCUGUUUAAUACGUUCCAAUAUGGACGUUUUCCAUAUAGAUAGCUAUCUAUAUAGAUAGAUGCUCUGGGAUCUGACAGUCCUGGACACCUGCAUGGCUGUGUGCCGUGGUCUUUGCCUAGCCUGCCGUUCACUGUUGCUCUGGCCACCACCUCCCCUCAUGUACAGACCGCGUCUCUGCUCUGCCAGUCUUGGCCCCCGUCGGGCAGCGGUUCACUCCCUCACCAGGGAUGUCUAGAUAGAUAGAUAUAGAUAGAUAUCGAUAGAUAGAUAUAGAGAUAGAUAGAUAUAGAUAGGUAGAUAUAUGGAUAUAGAGAUAUAGAUAUAGAUAUUUAGAUAGAUAUAUAGACAUCUAUCUAUAGAUAUAUCGAUAUAUAUCGAUAUAUAUCGAUAUAUAUCGAUAUAUCGGGAUUCUCAGCCAUCCCAAAGAAGCUUGCACAGGGCCAGUUGCUUUAUAAUAGGAAAGGGGACACAGACUGAGUGUAUGAGGGUUUUUUUUUUUCUGUAGAUGUAUAGAUAUCUAUAUCAGAUGCAAAUAAGUGAAACUCUCAUACACCUUUUAAUUUUGUGUUUUUUCCAAACUCUAUUCCAUUCAACUUUUUCUGCCUUUUUAUUUGAUUAUAAUGAGACAUCGUACUGUAGGCAGGCUUGAAAUGGAUAUACAGAGCACUUUCAACCCAGAAAUUUGUCUCACGACUUGGGGAUCCUUACUUAAGUUGUAGCUGUUAGUAAUUUCAUCCAUGAAUUCACUUUGUGCCAUAGUGUGAUGUUUUGUUAUGAAGUUGGAAUUGGGAAGGGAAACUAGGAAGUUUUGGGAGAAGUUAAGAAGGUUGAGUAGGCAGGCGUUGUUAUAGAUAUUAAAUUUCACCCUGCUUAUCAAAGUACCUGGAGGGUAUGGUAUCCAAGCUGUAAAUGGCCCAAAGGAAUCGGGGUUCUCAGCCAU